GAUGAACGCUGGCGGCGUGCCUAAUACAUGCAAGUCGAACGAACAGGCCCUGCUCUUGCGGCGCUCUCGAUUGGGGAACGGGUGAGAAAAACGCGAGUAUCACCCCCUUAUAUUAGUGAUAACUUUUGGAGACUCCGGAUAUUACCGGAGAGGAGCUCCUGCUGCAUGGUGGGCGAUGGUAAGUUUCGGCGGUUCUGGAUGGACUAGAGGCUUAUCAGCUUGUUGGUCGGGUUGUGGAUUACCAAGCCUUCGAAGGGUAGCCGGCCUGGGAGGCGUACCGGCGACAAUGGGCCUGAGGGAGGGACCAGAAGCGUACGGGAGGCAGCAGUGGAGAAUAUUGCAGAACGGGCGGAAGCCUGAUGUAGCGACGCCGCGUGCGGAAUGACGGCUUUCGGGUUGUAAACAGAUGUGGCAUGUGACGAAGCGGUAGUGACGGUAAUGGGUAAAGAAGCACCGGCUAACUACGUG
rnacentral:rRNA from 1 species